rnacentral:rRNA from 1 species
ACGAACGCUGGCGGCAUGCUUAACACCUGCAAGUCGAACGGAAAGGCCCUGCUUUUGUGGGGUGCUCGAGUGGCGAACGGGUGAGUAACACGUGAGUAACCUGCCCUUGACUUUGGGAUAACUUCAGGAAACUGGGGCUAAUACCGGAUAGGAGCUCCUGCUGCAUGGUGCGGGUUGGAAAGUUUCGGCGGUUGGGGAUGGACUCGCGGCUUAUCAGCUUGUUGGUGGGGUAGUGGCUUACCAAGGCUUUGACGGGUAGCCGGCCUGAGAGGGUGACCGGCCACAUUGGGACUGAGAUACGGCCCAGACUCCUACGGGAGGCAGCAGUGGGGAAUAUUGCACAAUGGGCGGAAGCCUGAUGCAGCAACGCCGCGUGCGGGAUGACGGCCUUCGGGUUGUAAACCGCUUUCGCCUGUGACGAAGCGUGAGUGACGGUAAUGGGUAAAGAAGCACCGGCUAACUACGUG